CUGAACUGUCAUAGUCAGGCCUCUGUGGUCAAAGACAAUCCUAACCAGUUCAGAGUCUUCCAAGCUCAGCCUCAGACAGAGUAAAUGAAUAGCUCUUAAGGUUCUAGACGAGGGGUUGUGAUCCUGCUGAAUAGGGGGAGGGGUUCAUCAAAUGAGCCAUAAAACUUUGGGAGACUCUGGGAGAUGAUACUGCAAAGAAGCAUGCCUCAGGUGCCCAGGACAUACCUGAAAAUCCCUGUGGUCCAUACUGAAGGAAAAACAAGUCAAGAGUUGCUUCUGGCUGUAUAUAAAAUUGGAAGAAAAGAAAGCUGAGAAAGUUCCAGAAAUGAGCCGUAACCUGAGAAAGUUCCAGAGAUGAGCCGUAACCUGAGAAAGUUCCAGAGAUGAGCCGUAAGCACUGUAGUCCUAUCAGAUCUGGGUGGCCCCCGAUUUAGUGAUCUUGACAGUUUUAAUGAGCGCUGUCACAAUUUUCUCUGU